AACUUUUGACGGUGGAUCUCUUGGCUCACGCAUCGAUGAAGAACGCAGCCAGCUGCGAUAAGUAGUGUGAAUUGCAGAAUUCAGUGAAUCAUCGAAUCUUUGAACGCAAAUGGCGCUCUUGGGUUCUCCCAGGAGCAUGUCUGUCUGAGUGUCGGAUGUCAUCCAUC
rnacentral:rRNA from 1 species